UGCCCAUAAGACUGGGAUAACUCCGGGAAACCGGGGCUAAUACCGGAUAACAUUUUGAACUGCAUGGUUCGAAAUUGAAAGGCGGCUUCGGCUGUCACUUAUGGAUGGACCCGCGUCGCAUUAGCUAGUUGGUGAGGUAACGGCUCACCAAGGCAACGAUGCGUAGCCGACCUGAGAGGGUGAUCGGCCACACUGGGACUGAGACACGGCCCAGACUCCUACGGGAGGCAGCAGUAGGGAAUCUUCCGCAAUGGACGAAAGUCUGACGGAGCAACGCCGCGUGAGUGAUGAAGGCUUUCGGGUCGUAAAACUCUGUUGUUAGGGAAGAACAAGUGCUAGUUGAAUAAGCUGGCACCUUGACGGUACCUAACCAGAAAGCCACGGCUAACUACGUGCCAGCAGCCGCGGUAAUACGUAGGUGGCAAGCGUUAUCCGGAAUUAUUGGGCGUAAAGCGCGCGCAGGUGGUUUCUUAAGUCUGAUGUGAAAGCCCACGGCUCAACCGUGGAGGGUCAUUGGAAACUGGGAGACUUGAGUGCAGAAGAGGAAAGUGGAAUUCCAUGUGUAGCGGUGAAAUGCGUAGAGAUAUGGAGGAACACCAGUGGCGAAGGCGACUUUCUGGUCUGUAACUGACACUGAGGCGCGAAAGCGUGGGGAGCAACAGGAUUAGAUACCUGGUAGUCACGCCGUAAACGAUGAGUGCUAAGUGUAGAGGUUUCGCCCUUUAGUGCUGAAGUAACGCAUAAGCACUCCGCCUGGGGAGUACGCCGCAAGCUGAACUCAAAGAAUUGACGGGGCCCGCACAAGCGGUGGAGCAUGUGGUUUAAUCGAAGCACGCGAAGACCUUACAGGUCUUGACAUCCUCUGAAACCCUAGAGAUAGGCUUCUCCUUCGGGAGCAGAGUGACAGGUGGUGCAUGGUUGUCGUCAGCUCGUGUCGUGAGAUGUUGGGUUAAGUCCCGCAACGAGCGCACCCUUGAUCUUAGUUGCCAUCAUUAAGUUGGGCACUCUAAGGUGACUGCCGGUGACAACCGGAGGAAGGUGGGGAUGACGUCAAAUCAUCAUGCCCCUUAUGACCUGGGCUACACACGUGCUACAAUGGACGGUACAAAGAGCUGCAAGACCGCG
rnacentral:rRNA from 1 species